AGAAACGUAUCGAUUUCUUUAUUCAAGGGAUCUAUCUAACAGCGAUAUUUAUAAAUAGAGUUGAAAUGCUGGCGUCCUAUACGUAAUGAAAUCAAGAGUUAGGGGACCAAUCACCAAAGUUCUACCAACGUAAGUAGAAAACUGGCGCACACAUUGAAUAUCUAUGGACUAUCCCACAGAAUUUGAAACAGUAACUUGGAUUCUGCAUCAAAACUUAAACUCGGUUCAUAGCAUAUUUACAUUCAGAACAUUAGAAUAUUGAUUUGUAAUGUCAAAAACCCAAACAAUGUGGGCAUAAAGUAUUGAUUUUGACCUUGUAAGGCUAAUAGGAUAACCACCAGAGAUCAUGUAAACGAAAUUACAGCAGGAUCCAACAUGGACAUGUGUUACAAGUACCACCCCGCACCCACUUUCCACAAAAGCUGCAUAGGUUGGUAGUGUUGGUUUGCGCAUUAUCCUCUUCUUCACAAUAGAAUAGGCUGUUUUCAUCGAGAGUAAAAUUCUCAACUAGUGCAACUGUGAUGAGAGCAACAUCCAAGCACUCAAGACUGGGAAUAUGAUCAAAGCAGAAGCCACAAAAAAUACUAGUUCCUCAUUGGCAAUUCGGGCACUUAACUCAUGUCUUUCCAUUUCUCUUUUGAUGAAACCUUGCAGCUCAUGGUGGGACUCUUUCACUGUUGAAAAGAAUCUUUCUAACUGAUGUAGAGUUUGGGAGAUGUAGGAUCCAAAGGCAGACUCCAUGCCAAACAAAUGCGAACCCAGUGGCCCAAGAGACUUUGGAAGAUAUUCACCGGAAAGGUCAUUUAUGAACUGCAAAUCCACAAAAAUCAAGAAAAUUGGCCAUAACAAACAUCUUGGAUAAUACAUCUCAAAAUAAGAAACUUCUUAUCUUUAAAGACUCAUUGUUGCUACUCAUAAUGCAUGGGAACAUUGAAUAAAUUUCAAAUGACAUGAAAACAUGGAAUAAGAUUAAAUAUCUUAAUAUCACCUUCAAGAAUGAGCAUCUAGGAAUCCUUGCUCGUCUCCGAGCCUUUAAUAUGCUCAUUUCUCUUAGUUGAAGAGCCUGCUCAAACUGUUGAAUUUGGAUCCACUGCUCUGACACUAUGUCAGCCAUCUUCUCAACCUGCGAAGUCACUGUUUGCAAUCUGUCCUCAGCUUCCCUUGCUUUAGACUCUAAAACAUGAAGAUCAAAAUUGUUCUUUCUUGAAGUUGCCCAUAGAACUCGUAUCUCUUCUUCCAGAACAUUAACCUUUUGAUCAGCGGGCAAAGGCAGUGAGCCACCCUUCAAAUUUGAAAGAGUAGAUUGCAAAUCGUUAAUCUUCUUCUCCAUCUCCUGAAUUCGAUACUCUCCUUCCUCCAAAUAAAGGUCUCUAUCCUUAACCUUUUGGAUGAUUUCCUCAAGAGAAGAUUCUAAUUGAGCGACCUUGAGCUUGGCGUCGUGCAAUUGGGGGAGCAGGUGGUGGAUGCUCUGCGGAUCUUGAGAUGAGAGAUCCAAUAGAGAAGACAAAAAAAUAGCGGGAAAUAAAAUUAGAAGAUAAAUCGCCGCCAUUGUCGUCGUCUCGUGUCUGCUACUACGCUGACCAUGUGAGCUAGGUAGUGUCCUCCU
rnacentral:misc_RNA from 1 species